UCUGAUGGAUGAGCAAACAAAGUGAUUUUCUGAGAUGAAAUCUACUCCUGGUGAAGAUACUGUGAA
rnacentral:pre_miRNA from 5 species